GUUUAUAUUCUUAUUGCUCAUUGGCUGGUAUUUACAAUGACUCAUUUAUAUAACUCCCACCAUUCACACUCACACAGUAAACCGUGCGCAAAGCAUGCUUAGAACCGGCAGCAGAGAAUUAUUAAAAAAAAACACACACACACAAAAAAACAGGCAGUACAGCUCAUUCAGUUAUACCGAUAAAAAUAAUACCUACUCACAGAAACAAUGAUCACAUUAAUAUUUCACCACAUUUAGUUUUCAGCUGGGCAGGACACAAUUAGCCACUGAUAUCCCCAAACGUGGAAACUCCCCACUUCAAGUUUGGGUAUAUUUGAGCAGAGAAGACACUGCGGAUUUCGAGCCACCUGAACUACGUCACACAACAUCUCUCUCUCUUUUUUUAAAAUACUGUGGUAGACUUACUUGUACAUUAAGUGAGAGAAAGCAUACCUCCAGCAGAUGGCACACUAAACACACAGAUCUUUGAAGACUAUAUCAUGUCAAACCUAGAUGUUUUAUAAUAUGUGUUUAUACAUACAUUAAAAUUCAACCCAUACUUCAGAUAUGUCAUUUACAGAAGUGGCUAAGAAGAAUCCAAAACUGGCAGUCGAGGAGACCAGCAUAAAUUACACUUUAUUACAAGAACAGACCAUAUUAUGCAGAUGCAGGCAGGAUCAUGGCUUCAGCGGGAAUGUAUGGCGAGAACGACCAGGCUCAGCUGCACAGCAAGGCAGCAGUGAUAAUCAAACUGUUCCUCAGGUGUGAGAUCUGGACUAAACACCGGGUAGGUAAUCCCAUUCAAUAUUACAGUAUGUUAUAUACAGUGUGGUGUUGAGUCGAGGUGUUCUGUAUUCUUACGGUAGCUCAGUUGUGUGUUUUGAGAAUACCCUAAGACGUUUUACAAAAUGUACAGGUUUGUUACACUAUAAAGAUGGUUAAAUAAGUCAACGACAGGUUCACGUGAACAGUAUUUUAUUCUUAAAAAAAAGACUUUGCAUCCCUUGUAGCCCCAAGGAUAUCGUGGAUUCAGUCACAUAGCAAUGAUUUUAAAUGAAUCGUUUUGCCAAUUCCAUGUUUUUCUUAUCUUUCUGCAGAUCAAUAUUGCCGAGGUUCAGAGAGAAAUGAUUCUGCUUUCAGUUUUACAUGGGCAUAUUGACCGUAGCCUUUUCCAUUCUGGAGCCAUGUCUAUUUUUCUCACCCUCAUCUUCUAUUGGAAAAAGUUAGCGUCCUUGUUUACUGUUGAUUGGGUCUGCUAUUUCUAAACCCAUAUGAAAAAUGCCAUAGCAAUAUAUAGUAGUGUAAUAGAGCAAAAUAUCAACAAAAAACUAAUUCAAGACCAUUUAAUUAGAGCUGGAAUUUAUUGGGUAUAUUUUCUUUACAAAAGCCCAAAAUAUUAUAAUAAAUCACUGACCUUAAGAUUUUUUUUGACUACUAGAUAUUAUCCCCAAGGAUAGAGUGGAUUCAGUCACAAUUCUUAUUCUGUACUAUUCUGUACAUACUGUUGAUCUAUGUUAUGAUCCUCAACUUCUUAAUCGUACUAAAAGCUCUAAUAUUGAAUUUACAGCUGCGGCAGUGAUGUAUGUUACUGUCAAACACCUAUUAUGAUAACCUUUACAAUAUUAUUAAUUUCAGAUUAGCUUAUUUGCAUGCAGUUAAACCACUGUACUUAUCGUUGCGGUGCUAGUGUAAUUGAAUUGCUAUUUGGUAUUGGCAGACUGAUGUUGUUUUGUAUAUCUUAGAGCUGUUUUAUUGGAGUUCAGUGUUUUAUUGUUGCAGAUACUGCACUUGGAAGGUGAUAAACAGUAUGUAUGGAAAUAAGAAAGAUCAGAAGAUACGGGAAAUUGUGGAAUUUCCUAACUACCUUGAGCCUAACCUUAAUGGGGAAUGGUACAUGAAAUUUGUCUCCCUCACUUAUAUUCUAUAUAUAUAUCACAAUCUAUAUGGAUUAAAAGAUUUUGUACAUGUAAUAAUGUUAUGGCUUUCCAGCUUCUUUAACAUAUACCGUACUGCAGCUACCAGGUGUAUCCUUUUAUUCCUUGUUCGUUGGUAACACUUUACAUUAAGUCUCUCUAAUUACUGUGUCUUUACAUAGUAGUUACUUAGUAAAUAU